rnacentral:rRNA from 1 species
CUACGGGAGGCUGCAGUGAGGAAUAUUGCACAAUGGGGGGAACCCUGAUGCAGCAACGCCGCGUGGAGGAUGACGCAUUUCGGUGUGUAAACUCCUUUUAUAUGUCAAGAAAAUGACGGUAGCAUAUGAAUAAGCACCGGCUAACUCCGUGCCAGCAGCCGCGGUAAUACGGAGGGUGCAAGCGUUACUCGGAAUCACUGGGCGUAAAGGACGCGUAGGCGGGUUGGAAAGUCAGGUGUGAAAUCCCACAGCUUAACUGUAGAACUGCACUUGAAACUUCUAAUCUAGAGUAUGGGAGGGGGAGAUGGAAUUAGCGGUGUAGGGGUAAAAUCCGUAGAUAUCACUAGGAAUACCUAAAGCGAAGGCGAUCUCCUGGAACAUUACUGACGCUAAGGCGUGAAAGCGUGGGGAGCAAACAGGAUUAGAUACCCUUGUAGUC